rnacentral:rRNA from 1 species
UACGUAGGGGGCUAGCGUUGUCCGGAAUCAUUGGGCGUAAAGAGCGUGUAGGCGGUCCGGUAAGUCCGCUGUGAAAGUCGGGGGCUCAACCCUCGAAUGCCGGUGGAUACUGUCGGGCUAGAGUGCGGAAGGGGCAACCGGAAUUCUUGGUGUAGCGGUGAAAUGCGUAGAUAUCAAGAGGAACACCUGAGGUGAAGACGGGUUGCUGGGCUGACACGUGACGCUGGAGGCGCGAAAGCUAGGGUAGCAAACGGGA